AACACAUGGCGGCCUCGCAGAAACCCGGGAGUCCUUGUGGACCUGCUUUACCAGGAUGACCCGCCCCGCCCGCUGCUCCCUGGGGCCCUCGCUCGCCUGGUCGGCCGCCUCGAGCCACGCCGUCAACACCUGCAGGACCUGAGGAUCACUCACCUUGGAUUCCGUGAGGUCCUGGUGAUCCUUGAUGAGGUUUACCUGCCUCUCCUCUCUGACCCUUGGCUCCUCUCUUUCCUGACCACAACAAGAAAGUGAACAGAUCCUUCAGGUAUUCCUCGAGAACCAGGCAAACCAUGUGGUCCUUGUGGACCCGUUGAUCCCGGAGGUCCAGGAGGGCCGGGGGGUCCCAUGACACCAGCUCCACCAAGCACAGCCCUUUUAGCGCUCACUGCCACUGCUGCCAGCCUCUCUGUCAUAACAAAGACAUUAACUUAGAAGCUGUUUAAUGUGGAGAUAAAAAAUAUACUGUAUACUUAUACACAAUAACUCUAGUUCCAGUACUCCGCUACAUGUAUGUCACAUCUUCAAACAUGUAUUGUUUUGAUUUGAUUUUGGUUAACUGUCUUUUAUACUUUUGACAAUAGAACUGAUACUUUAAAUAAAGUUGAUGUGGGGGGGGGGAUUUGAGUGUGAAAGCUCACCUUGCAACAUUCUUAGCACCACAUCAAUGAUAUGCUGGUCAGAUGUAUCACGUCCCUGAAGAGAACAACAACAACAUUGUGUCAAAGUGACAACCGUUACAUUUGCCAGACAGGAAGUGGACUCACCGGUGGACCCUCAAUACCCGGCAUGCCAGGCACUCCUCUCAUGCCGUUCAACCCCCGAGGACCAGGCAGUCCAGGGGGUCCUAGAUCACCUGGCUUCCCAGAGUCUCCAGUUGGACCGUUAUGUCCAAGGUCUCCCCUCACUCCGUGCUGCAAACACACAAAUAUCGGCUGAAUACACGUGCAUGAAGUGUAUAUUUACUUAACACAUGAUCAUACACAACUCACCUGUCCUUUAGGGCCAGGUUCUCCAGACAUACCCUGUCACAAUCACAAUCAUGAUUUUAAUUAUUUAACUUUGUUUCCCUCCGUUUAGUAAG